UGCCCACCCCGCCCAGUGAGGAGAUCAGCACCCCUUGUCUGUCUCUGUGUCUGUCGGGGUUCGUGCCUCACUGUGUCCAAGCCCGGCUUCUAUCCCUAGUCCCUUCCUGUUCGCGCCACUCCUGCUUGCUUUCUUCUCCCCUUCCCUCCAGCGGUGGUUCCAAACCUUCUCUUCCAUAAGACCCUCCAUUCCGUUUCCCAGAGACCCAGGGGUGCCCCUCGCAG
rnacentral:lncRNA from 1 species